GACGAACGCUGGCGGCGUGCUUAACACAUGCAAGUCGAACGGAAAGGCCCUGCUUUUGUGGGGUGCUCGAGUGGCGAACGGGUGAGUAACACGUGAGUAACCUGCCCUUGACUUGGGGAUAACUUCAGGAAACUGGGGCUAAUACCGGAUAGGAGCUCCUGCUGCAUGGUGGGGGUUGGAAAGUUUCGGCGGUUGGGGAUGGACUCGCGGCUUAUCAGCUUGUUGGUGGGGUAGUGGCUUACCAAGGCUUUGACGGGUAGCCGGCCUGAGAGGGUGACCGGCCACAUUGGGACUGAGAUACGGCGCAGACUCCUACGGGAGGCAGCAGUGGGGAAUAUUGCACAAUGGGCGGAAGCCUGAUGCAGCAACGCCGCGUGCGGGAUGACGGCCUUCGGGUUGUAAACCGCUUUCGCCUGUGACGAAGCGUGAGUGACGGUAAUGGGUAAAGAAGCACCGGCUAACUACGUG
rnacentral:rRNA from 1 species